rnacentral:sRNA from 1 species
GACGCGGAUUACGGUGGC